rnacentral:rRNA from 1 species
AGCCAGCAGCCGCGGUAAUACGUAGGGGGCAAGCGUUGUCCGGAAUUAUUGGGCGUAAAGAGCGCGCAGGCGGGUCUGUCAGUCUACCGUGAAAGCUUACGGCUCAACCGUAACGGGUCGGUGGAUACUGCAGAUCUUGAGGGCAGGAGAGGAAAGUGGAAUUCCCAGUGUAGCGGUGAAAUGCGUAGAUAUUGGGAGGAACACCAGUGGCGAAGGCGACUUUCUGGACUGUUACUGACGCUGAGGCGCGAAAGCUGGGGGAGUGAACGGGAUUAGAUACCCCGGUAAUCCCAGCCGUAAACGAUGGGUACUAGGUGUAGGAGGUAUCGACCCCUUCUGUGCCGGAGUUAACGCAAUAAGUACCCCGCCUGGGGAGUACGGUCGCAAGACUGAAACUUAAAGGAAUUGGCGGGGGAC